GAGUAUAAAUCUUACCGUAUCCGAGGAUCAUCUCAGUCUGAGAUUUUCUGGAGCACGGAUCAACUGCGAAUUUCCAUUCACCAAAAUGUGCAAGGUUAAGAGAGUAGUGUACCGCGUGGAGGUUUUUUAUGAGCAAGGGGGCGUUGCACGAAGUAUGGAAUUCACCAUUACAAAGGGCAAAAACAGGUGCUUCGCCAAAUAUGAGGCACCAAAUGCAAUUGUGAAAGCAGGGUCUCAGUGGAAAUUUGCUGGGCAGUACUUCGUCAGAAGUAUCGUCCACAAUUUUCUUACGUUGGACCAGACUCUGCAUCAGUGUCAGGAAGCACACAGCCCUCCUGCUAAGGAUGAUUUCUGCAGCCCAGCUACAGAGGCUGAGCCAGGUGUGGAACCUGAGGCAAACGUUGAGGAAUUCGCCACUGAACCUGUGGAUAACCAUCCGGAGGGGUCAGACACAUCUACCCCGAGACAAAAUGAUAUGGACCGGCAAACUCAUUCACCGGUCACAUCUGAAGGAACAAGGGUGGCAGAGUCAGCCAGUACUGCUCACCAAGGACUCUCUCUCCAGGACAGGCUGGCAAUUGAAUUUCAUCAGCAAAAGCUAAAGUGUCUGAAAGAAGAACAUGAGAUGAAAAUGAAAAUUCUUCGUUUACAACUAGAUAUGUUGAUGCAGAGAAAGAUGCAACUGGGUCAAAUGUACCAGAAACUGAAUAAAUAAAUAUUGUUUUCUUAACUCA